AACACAUGCAAGUCGAACGGUAACAGGUCUUCGGAUGCUGACGAGUGGCGGACGGGUGAGUAACGCGUAGGAAUCUGUCUUUGAGUGGGGGACAACCCAGGGAAACUUGGGCUAAUACCGCAUAAGCCCUGAGGGGGAAAGCGGGGGAUCUUCGGACCUCGCGCUGGAAGAGGAGCCUACGUCUGAUUAGCUAGUUGGUAGGGUAAAGGCCUACCAAGGCGACGAUCGGUAGCUGGUCUGAGAGGACGACCAGCCACACUGGGACUGAGACACGGCCCAGACUCCUACGGGAGGCAGCAGUGGGGAAUUUUUCGCAAUGGGGGCAACCCUGACGAAGCAAUGCCGCGUGAAUGAAGAAGGCCUUCGGGUUGUAAAGUUCUUUCGUGGAGGACGAAAAGGUGGGUGCUAAUAUCGCCUGCUGUUGACGUGAAUCCAAGAAGAAGCACCGGCUAACUCCGUGCCAGCAGCCGCGGUANUACGGGGGGUGCAAGCGUUAAUCGGAAUCACUGGGGCGUAAAGGGUGCGUAGGCGGUGCAUUAGGUCUGUCGUGAAAUCCCCCGGGCUCAACCUGGGAAUGGCGGUGGAAACCGGUGUUACUAGAGUAUGGGAGA
rnacentral:rRNA from 1 species